UGAGUUUUCAGUAUGACAGAUAUUUUUAGUAAAUCAUAGUCCUUUUACUAUACAGCUGUAAAAUAUUUGCAGAACCCGAGAAUAGAGUAACAGAAGUGAUGGUGGAAGCACUCCAAAGACAAAAAAACAUUGCAACUAAUGUUAUGACGGCCACUGGUAAACAGUUAAAGAAAAGAAGUGCGGCCAAGAGACAAGGCAAGCCCCAGGAAGGUUCAAGUGAAGUAAAGUCUAAACGCCAACGUUGUGUCCAAAAUCAACUUGAACAAUUGGAGAAAAGGCACAGAAUAGAGAAAAAAUAGAUCUUGUGUUAGGCAAAAAAAUAGGAAUUGUAUCUAGUCAUUCAACAGACCAUAAUUUUUGUUGCCGACUCAAAGUUUUUUUGGCAGUUUAGAAAUUGACUGUCUUGAAUUAUUCAAAGAAAGUGUCUUCUUCUUCUUGUCAUUCGCUAUGUCUACACAAAGGAAGUGUCAAUAUUAUGUCCAAACAGUGAAACAAAUCGUGUUUCAUUAUCAACUUGCUCAUUAUUGACUUUAUGGACAAUAGUUCCCGUCAUUUCACCACAACAGACAUUUGGCAAUAGAUUUCAAUGUAAAAAUAAAAUAAAAUAAAAAAAAAAAGAAAUAAAAAAAAAAAAUCUGACCUACAGACCAUGAUAAUUUUUAGGUACGUGACCAGUCUAAUUUUUUUAGGCAUUGCGUUAAGUAUCUGAUUCAGUAAUAAAAUAAUGAUUUAUUUUUUAUCACUUGUCAACUUUUAUUAGUAUUGUGAAGUAAUGGGGAUUUUGUUUCUACUUAAAUAAAUAAUGUUUUUGUACUAGUAAAGUAUUUUUGCUAAUCAAACUACAGUUAAUACUGUCUAUUAGGUAGAUUCGUUAUAAUUUCCUACCAGUUUUAACUGGAAGGGACUAAAAUGUCUGGUUAAUGGUAACAUCCUUUUAAAGUAAAAUUAUACAAAGUUCUUUCACUAAACCAUCAAUAAAGAUUAUUGUUCUGUAAGUAAAUUCUAAGUGUUACUGGAUCUUUAAGCUUUAUUUUAUACAUGUAUGAACUGUGAUUAGCAAAGGUACAAUGUAUUUUACUUUUUGCAUAUGUAAAUAGCUUAAAAUAGAUCUGUCAGGCUUGAUCAGGGAUAUA